rnacentral:lncRNA from 1 species
GAUGAAGAUUUUUUGUUGGCGAAGUCCGGGGAAGUCCGAUCGUUAGAGAAGUCCGUCUGAGAUUUAUCUGAUGUGGAAGCUCAUCCGAAGAUCGUCCGCCGGGGAAGUCCGAUUUUAUGGGAAGCCUGGUAGGAGGUCGGCCGGCGAUGGACUUCGGAUAGCGUUGGGGAGGCUCGGCAGACAUCGGAGGCAAUCGGCUAUCGCAGGGACCUAGCUGCUGGAGCUCGUCCGGAAUCCAUCCGCCGGAGAAGUAGCUCGGCUGAAGUCUAUCUGUAAUAGAAGUUCGGAGGGAAUUCGUUUACAGUAGAGGCUUGAAUGGAAUUUGCUUACAGUAGAUGUCUGGGAUAGACAGCCCGCGGUAGGAGUUCGGAGCAGACCGUUCGUAGUAGAAGUUCGGUUCUCGCGGGAGCUUGAUUGGGAUUCGAAAGACGGUCGACCGCCGUGGAAACUUGGAUGGAAUCUGGUUACCGUAGAAAUCUCGCUGUUAGGGAAGCUCGGAUGCAGACGAAGUCCGGAAGAAAUUUGGAAAAUAGUUGGUUGCUGUAGAAGGUCGGCUAACAGUGGGGCCCAGAGGGCCUUUGGGGUGGCCCAGUGGAUGAAUGCAGAAGUUCAUUGUCGGAGAAGUCCGGACGGUCGAGGGGGUUCGGAGAGACGCCACACAUAAGGUCGGGAGCCGGAAGAGCCUUGGAAGGAUCGGUCUUUUACAAACUUCGGCCGGGGGGUAUUUUAUACCCAACACCAGUCUCCCUACUUUUGAGUUCGGGUUUCGAAUGAAGGAAGUACAGAGAAAUUCUCAUGGCCGAAGUUGCUUCCCUCGAUUUCCGCACUCGACGGUUGCCAGAUAUUUUGACGUCCGGCACGCUGGUACUGGAGCCUUUUUAGAAAAGAUUUCUUCUUUUCGGAAUUUCCGCCGGAGCGCAGUCCUAGGUACGGUGCCAUAAUGGUUUUACUAAUUGUCGGCCACCUCCAGCCGCUUGCCACGGUGAGUGGGCCACGCGGCGGUUACAGACUGGUCUGAGUCCUGCAGUCAUUAUUGCAUCGGACCCCGUCGCCUAUUUAAACUUGCCUCCCCUCUUCGGGGAUCUCACUUUGCACAGGAGUUUCUUCGGUCUUUCCUUCCUGGCCUUAGGCGUCCGUUGAGUCGUUUUCAUCUUUGUAUCCCCGCAUCCCUCAGACCAGCUUGGGUUAGCCCCAAAACGUUCUCUGCUUCCGCGGCCUCGUUUAUAGACUGUGCUGGUCUUCCUUCGUUGCGGAUAUGGACGCGGACGCGGCUCAGAUGUUAGCCC